AUUGAACGCUGGCGGCAGGCCUAACACAUGCAAGUCGAGCGGAUGAAGGGAGCUUGCUCCUGGAUUCAGCGGCGGACGGGUGAGUAAUGCCUAGGAAUCUGCCUGGUAGUGGGGGAUAACGUCCGGAAACGGGCGCUAAUACCGCAUACGUCCUGAGGGAGAAAGUGGGGGAUCUUCGGACCUCACGCUAUCAGAUGAGCCUAGGUCGGAUUAGCUAGUUGGUGGGGUAAAGGCCUACCAAGGCGACGAUCCGUAACUGGUCUGAGAGGAUGAUCAGUCAUACUGGAACUGAGACACGGUCAAGACUCCUACGGGAGGCAGCAGUGGGGAAUAUUGGACAAUGGGCGAAAGCCUGAUCCAGCGAGGCCGAGUGUGUGAAGAAGGUCUUCGGAGUGUAAAGCACGUUAAGCUGGGAGGAAGGGCAGUAAGUUAAGACCUUGCUGUUGUGACGUUACCAACAGAAUAAGCACCGGCUAACUUCGUG
rnacentral:rRNA from 1 species